CAGUAGCCACGGUAAUACGGAGGGAGCUAGCGUUGUUCGGAAUUACUGGGCGUAAAGCGCGCGUAGGCGGUUACUCAAGUCAGAGGUGAAAGCCCGGGGCUCAACCCCGGAACUGCCUUUGAAACUAGGUGACUAGAAUCUUGGAGAGGUCAGUGGAAUUCCGAGUGUAGAGGUGAAAUUCGUAGAUAUUCGGAAGAACACCAGUGGCGAAGGCGACUGACUGGACAAGUAUUGACGCUGAGGUGCGAAAGCGUGGGGAGCAAACAGGAUUAGAGACCCCAGUAGUCCCUGUCUCUUAUAC
rnacentral:rRNA from 1 species